GACGAACGCUGGCGGCGUGCUUAACACAUGCAAGUCGAACGGAAAGGCCCUGCUUUUGUGGGGUGCUCGAGUGGCGAACGGGUGAGUAACACGUGAGUAACCUGCCCUUGACUUUGGGAUAACUUCAGGAAACUGGGGCUAAUACCGGAUAGGAGCUCCUGCUGCAUGGUGGGGGUUGGAAAGUUUCGGCGGUUGGGGAUGGACUCGCGGCUUACCAGCUUGUUGGUGGGGUAGUGGCUUACCAAGGCUUUGACGGGUAGCCGGCCUGAGAGGGUGACCGGCCACAUUGGGACUGAGAGACGGACCAGAAUCCUACGGGAGGCAGCGGGGGGGAAUAUUGCACAGUGGGCGGAAGCCUGAUGCAGCAACGCCGCGUGCGGGAUGACGGCCUUCGGGUUGUAAACCGCUUUCGCCUGUGACGAAGCGUGAGUGACGGUAAUGGGUAAAGAAGCACCGGCUAACUACGUG
rnacentral:rRNA from 1 species